GCAGAGGGAGAAGCAGACUCCCUGCUGAGCAGAAAGCCAGAUGGGGGGCUCUAUCCCAGGACUCUGGGAUCAGGACCUGAGCCAAAGGCAGACACUUAACCAACCGAGCCACGUGGGUGCCCCUAGAACGAGAUCACUGGCCUAUAGGGAGCUACAAACAAACCUGGUGGGAGGAAUGAGAAUCAUCUGGAAAUACUCAACAUUGAACCAGAUUCAAGGAC
rnacentral:lncRNA from 1 species